rnacentral:lncRNA from 1 species
GUCAUGAAAAGGUUGGAUGAGGAUGGUAUGGCGGAUUCGCGCGACCAGCAGCGUGUGCUCCCUUCACCAACUUUGAACAUAGACAACAAAGAGGGGAAAAAGAGCGACAAAAAUCUUCUCGCUUCUCACUUAUAUUGCAGCCAACAUUGAGAAGCACAUGUACAUAUGUACAUACCAAAUUCAGAAAUAUUACUCUGAUUUAGUCAUAUAAUACACAAUGGUGUGGCCAAAAUAAUGAAUGAGUUAUACAAAUACACAAUGGAGGUGUACAAAAUUCAUCAAACAACACUGGUGACAUACAAACAUGUUAGAAAUCAGAGAGGGCUAUAUCAAGAUUUCCCAGAAUUACCUAGGUCAGAUGAGGAUGCUACCUGCAGAGGAGAUGGGGGGCGACUCCAGCAAGGUUCCUCGCAUGAUGGAUUCGUUCGAAAACCGAGACGAAGCUCCGCCAGGGUGGCCUGGACGCCGGGGGAUCCGAAGCAAGUGUAGAUAACCGGGACGACCAUGGACUGCGAGCUUGCUUGUCAUGCUCGACGUGGCUAAUGCCGGCCACCACAAUCGUGUGGGACGACGCACCUGCGAGUUGUGUCUCAUGGGAAUUGGGGAGGCUGGUUCAUGGCGGCGAGAACAAGGGCAGGGCGGCCGAGGACGAGAUUGGCGAGCUCCGGAGCAGGCGACGGGGAUGGGAAUGGGUGGGCUUUGGCAGGUGUCGGGGAUAUACCCCGCAGUAUGACCCGGCUGGAGAUAUAACCCGGCUGGGAUUGGGUGUUUCAUUGAUGACCCGGCAGACUAUAAGCCGGCAGGAACAGUUAAGUAGGUUAAGCUCGUGGGAACAGUUGAGCAUUGUAACCCGACAGACAUGGUCAUGUAACCCGGCAGACACAGUCAUGUAACCCGGCACAUGUUAAGCCAGGUGGUAAGCCAGACGGUAAGCCAGAUGGUAAGUCAGAUCGUAAGCCAGACGGUAAGCCAGAUGGUAAGCCAGAUGGUAAGUCAGAUCGUAAGCCAGAUUGUAAGAAGCCCAAGACGUUAAGAAGCCCAUGGUGAGACGUCAAAGUAAGGUUAAAUCUUAAGUCCGAGUUGGACUCUACAUGUAACCUGCCCCUUCAGCUUAUAUAAGGAGGGGCGGGGCACCCCAAGAGGGGACAAGAAACAAUCGAUAGGGCUAGACACCGAGAGCCGGUUCCCGGCGACUCUCCCGUGAUCAUAAUGAGACCUAGCCUCAAACAGCAUGUAGGGUUGUUACCGGAUGAUGUUUCCCAGGGCCCGAAGCUGUCUAAAUCCUUGUCUUGUGUUGCGUCUCUCGAUUCCGCUCAACCCCUCUCAAGCUACCACAUAGAUGCGUUGGCCUCACGACUAAGUCCUGACACUAAGGACAUCUGCCGUGACAAUUCCACGACAGUUGGCGCCCAUCGUGGGGCCCGCGCACGGUGGUGUUGAGUCCUUGAAGGGAUUUCAUCUAGGGAUUGAGAAGUUCGCGUCUGGAUAAAGAAAAGACCAAUUUUUUGGAGGGAUCUGCAUCAACUUCGAGUUCACUGGAUUGAGAUCAGAAAUUUUAUGGGCAGUAACCAUCAUCUCUGUUAACAAAAUCAUCAGAGAAACCCCCGAAAAUUUGGCAUAAGCCGCCAUGUUUCUCAGCAGGAUCAUCUACUGUCACCAAACGAGCAAAUCCAGCAUGGAAACCUGAAGGAAGACCCGGACGUGGGCGGUCAAACCUGCCACAACCCGGAAACCGGGCCAACCACAGGAUCUCCAGAGUCAAUCUCGAUUGGUUUUUGUCUUGGAUUAAAAAAAAGGAAGGCAGUCAGCGACCCGGACCCGGGAGAUCCACGGGCUCGGACUCCUCCUACGACCCGCCUCGUUGACCCACUGCGCCCCCGCCGUCGCCGGUUCGCGCAUCCAACCCGCCGGGCCGUUGCUGCGCCGCCGGCUUUGCCUCUGCUGGGGUCGCCUUGACCCGCCCGCCGUCGAACGGCCUUGUCUCCACCGCAAGUGAGCCGCCGCGAGUCACCGGGACCCUCUGCAGCUCGCCGCGCCGCACCUUUGCCUGAGCCGUUCCGCCGGUGAGCCGCCCGGUCGCGCAGCCGUCUCUGGCCGUGGCUGGCCUCGCGCCUCCGCCUCUCUGCGAAGGACUCCGCCAUAAACGACUGCAUUGAAACAUCACCUUUACGGUGGCUCGGAGCAUCUCCAUCAGCCCAGCGCUAAGCCGCCUUCACUACCACGGCCACGGCCGUGCAUCUGCGACCACGCGCCGGCUCGCUCCCAUACGACAUCGCCACGAGCCGCCGCGUUGCCUUGCUGCGGCAGGUUCGAGCCGCCAAGUCGCCGGCUCCGCUCUCUGCAAACCACGGGUCGUGCCUCCCUUGAGUCGCCGCGGCCGAAUCAUGCCCGGACUCAACUCUGAGUGGCCGAGUGGCCUCCACCCGGACCCGCUCGGACCCGACCUCGCUCUGGUCUGCCCUCGCCUCUGUGACCCGUUGUCGCUUUCACAAGCCGGCGUUCUGGGCCGGCCUAGACAAGUCACUGGCCUUACAUUCAAUCGCCGCCACCGAGUCGCCGCCUGCGCCAGGGCGGGCUACCUCACCUACGACGGCCCGCCUACCUUCAAGACAACCACUGUCGGUUCUAACUCUGCCCUCGCUCCUCCUGAGCCGGUUCACCGCCGUCUCUCUACUCCAAGUGCCCUCGACUCCGAGUCGCCCUUGCGACCUCGUUACUUCGAUCGCCUCAGCCACGGCCCAUCUGCCUGCGAGUCCUGUUGAGUCACCACGCCGGCCCUGUCUCCAGAUCGCCUCCGAACUGCGUCACACUUCCGAGCCGCUGCCAUGACCAGCAUUGAGUCACCGCCGUUGAGCCGGCUCUGGCUUCAACCACCGCCUACUCGACUGCGUGUCGCCGCGUGAUGAGCCGCUGCCGCGAGCUCACUGGCUCGCCAAGCCAAGUCGCCAUUGUCGUGAGCACCGACCCGCCACAACCGCCGGGUCAACUUUAUCUCAGAAACAGCCCGCCCAGGUUGCCUCACUGAACUGCCGAUGAGCCGCCGCUGCCGCCGUGAGUCGCCGCAGCCACGAGCCGAUGCCUCCACCGCCAGCCUCGCGUCACCUCUGAACCUGGCGUCACCUACUGCCUCCGACGAGAGUCGCCAAGUGGUCCUUGAGCUACUACCCGCAUCUCCUUUUGCAGCAGCAUCUGAUUGAGCCUGACGCGCCGAAACACUCCAUUACCGAGGACCAGCCUCGAGCCACCGCCUUGGGCUGCCGUCGCCUUUGCCUGGAUUCGAUCGAGCCGCCGCUUCGUGCCAGUCUUAGUUAAAACUCCGGGCCUGUUUCGGCCGUCACUGAGAGCCGCCGUCUACUAGACUUCCUUGUGCCCUGAGCCACCGCGCUUCGAGUCCCCGGCCGGCCCGUGUGUCCGCUCAAACCGAGCACGACCCGGAAGAGGUCUCGGUUGCGCCUCGCACGGAGUCGGCAGCUACCACAGCCGGCCUACGCCCAUCUAUCGCCGCCGCUCACUUCUGUCUCCGCCGGGUUAUAAAGUAUAAACUCACCGACGACAGAGAGCACUCCGCCGGGCCACCUCUCCAACAUACUGAGCUGCUCUCGCCAAAAUUAUUCGCCGGAGUCCUUCAAACCACGGGUUCACCGGGGCACCGUUGAGUCUUAACCACAUCGCGGUCGAGCCGCCGAGGCCUGCCUUAGAGCCGUCACCGGGUCUACACCGCAGUUGAGUCGCUCCGGCCGUGAGUUCUUGAGAAACAGCAAAUGAGAUCCAAUCGAGGAAGUUUGCAGAUGGUGGCGGCGGAGUAUGCAGAGACGCGUGAAGACCUAAUCCGUCGCUGAUUUUUCAUCACAGAGCACCCGCGACAUGUGCUUUCAAGCAGUCUGGGUGUUGGAACCUAUUGCUGGCUACUGAAGAAAGAAGAGGGAGAAGCAGACGAUGACCCGGAAGCGGACGUGCUACGGCCGGCCUGAGCCGCUCGCGCGCCCGGGCAAGUCGCCGUUGCUGGUUGCAUCCGCGCGAUCUGAUCGUAGCCACUGCUGGUGAGCCGCCACCGCGGUCUCCAAUGAGCCGCCGCUCCGCCACCGUGAGUCGCCGCUGUCGUGGUCUCCGCCAUGAUCCCCGUUCAAGCCGGCUUGUAGCUUCUGCCACGGCCGCUUACGAAUCGCCGGGUGGCCCAGCUGUUGUUAUUGCCGGGCAUCACUUUGUUUCAGCCUGUUCAAUCUCUCCGCGGAAGAAAGAGAGAAGAAGGAGAAAACCUACUCCAUGCAUGAAUUAUGCGGCCAGAGUGCUAAUCACAUGCGUACACUAAUCACUUUCCAUGCACUUCCAAUACCUUCACACACGGUUCAAAUUCCAACUGGGAGUACUGAUCGUACAUCCAAGGAGACAGUGUCAGUGAAGCGCUCGACAAUUAUCCAGCAAUGCAUGGCGUGGUUCCCUAGGUAAAAAAGAGGAAGCCAGAGGAGGUGUACUGAUCGAGCAUUAUUGAAUGCCAGUGUGCGCGUUCGCCCGACAAAACAUCAGGUGAUAUCUAUUUGAAUCCAUUUUAUUAACAUAUAUUGUUUUCAUCAGAGAACAACUGCUUUGCCCUGCUAUAUUUUAUAUGCAGGAGAAUUAUUAAUUACAAUGUGGCAUUAUACCGUGGAGAUGGAGGCGCGUCAACAUCUUUCGGCACCGGUGAUUGUCGUUACUCAAACGGACUCCCACACCGGCUUACAAUGCCAUGGCCCUCUCUCGCGACCGCACCGGCUUACAAAGCCAUAGACGACUCACCCAUUCGCUCUCGCGGCCGAUUCACGCGUCUACGCCGGUUUACAACGAGGAGGACAACUUGCUCGUCCGCGCGGCUUACAAUGCCGCGGCCGACUCACACAUCCACUCCAUCUUCAGCCACUUUGAUCGGCACAUUCGGAGGAUUAUCUAUCGCUGGGACAAAUCAGGUGAAUCCUGUCCAGUCAAAUUUUUAUUUAAACAACAAGUACUCGGGCUUGUGAUGUUUUUUGAUGCAGGACAAUUGUUCACUGCAAAAGGUGACUGUCAUGUCAUGGAGCUUAUUGAAUGACUCAUACCAAGAGUAUACGGCGAGUGUUGCGAAGAUCAUCAACUCGCCACCUUGCUUACACUGGACGGCUCAAUGGACAGGAGCAUAUGGUCACUAGGGGGCUUCCUGUUCAAACAUAGGUCGUAUUCGAACCAAAGAGAACAUAGCUGUCGGUACCCUUCUGAUCGGCACACUGCCAACCUCACUAGGGGGCUUCUUGAUCGUAUUCGAAUCAUAGCUCAAGCCCUUUUUGGGUCCGACGUGGAUCGUAUUCGAAUCAGCGUCGUUAAACAACUCUCAAGGUCAUUUGGGGGCUUCCUGUUCAAACAUAGGUCGUAUUCGAACCAAAGAGAACAUAGCUGUCGGUACCCUCUUGAUCGGCAACGCCAAAGCCACUGGGGGCUAUAUGAUCGUAUUCGAAUCUUAGCUUAACCCCUUUGGGACGGUUUCUGAUCGUAUUCGAAUCAGAAGCCUCAAAAAUUUUGAAGUCUCUUUUUGCAAACAAUUUUUAGAUUUUAUUUGAAGCUCUUUUUCAUAUCUAAAGUGUAUAUGAGUGGUUGUUAUUUAACCCGGCUUGAUUUUCAAUGGUAAAUCGCCAGCUUAUAACAAUCAUCAUCUAUGUGGAAGCAUUGGCUUCUAAAGGAUUGGGUUAUCACCCUUACUGCACAGGUCAUGUAAAUCGGCAGUACAAAAUCAAUAUCACAGUGGUUAUAUGUGAGAUAUUAUGACCCGACUUGCGGUAAACCGCCAAGGGAUCUUGUGAUCUACUUGUGUGCAGGAUAAGACUACAUUUGGGUGAUUACCCGCUCUGGUUUUUAACGUUAAGUCGCCAGGGCAUAUGUUGUUUAAACUCUGUGCGGGAUUUACAGGGCUAUGACUUACAUAAAUGAUUAAGUUCAAGCCCAUCAUCAAAGAUUGAAAUUGGUGUCUCGAAAGGGUUGUCAAUUCUUGGUUUUCUCAAAGGCUAUAAGCCGCCGGGUUCUAAAAUUUCCGGGUAUUUAAACUCCGGAUUUAUUUGUCAACAGAUAAGGUAUUUGAAUCUUUAAAUAGCCAAGCUUGGCUGGAUUUUCACUAUGAUAUUGAAUGAUUGAGGUUUCAAACCGGGUUAUUCAAAUGUUUAAUAGCCAGCAUGGCUGGAUUUUUAUUAUGGUUAUCAGUAACUAAUGUUAUGGUUGAGGUUUUCAAAGUCGCUUUGGCGCAAUGGCUAUUAUUUUAUCAAUGGAUAUGAUUUAUUCUACAAUGAAAGGAAUAGUCCCGAGUCGCUGCAGGCUUACAACCCGGCACUUGGGGGCUACAUUAUUUACAUUGAGAUCACAUCAAAUAUGCAAGUCCCAUGUCACUGCCAGCAUGCACCAUGGCACUUGGGGGCUAAUGCAAAGUCAUUUUUUGCUCAUUUCAUUGAAAGACCCGACUCAUCACAUUCUGAAUGAGCCGGCCCUUGGGGGCUACCAAUUGCUCCUGUCAACAAUUCAAGGUACACAAAUUAAAUCCAUUAUAUUGAAGGGUCCAUUACUCAGUUGAUAAAGCACAAAGCUCUUAACCUUGUGGACGUGGAUUCAAGCCCUACGAUGGAGGUUAUAUCAUAUAAUGUUAUUCUCAAUGAGGUAUAUACAAAGUCCCUGCUCAUUAUUACAUAAUGAGCCGGCCCUUGGGGGCUACAUUGGUUGAAGUUUUUAUGAGCAUAAGGCAAUUUCAAGUCCCAGGCUGCUGCAAGCAUGACAACCCGACACUUGGGGGCUACAUAUGUGGAAUACUCAGUUUUGACUAGUGAUUGAGAUAAACAACAUGGAUUUCUUCAAAGUGAUAAUAUUUUUGUUCAAGCAAGUCUUAAGUCAUUACUUUGUUUCUGCUCAAGACUUGGGGGGCUACAGGUAAUAUGGAUAGGGGGGAGAGAAUCAUGACUUGGCAUCAUCUAUUUAUAAACCCGGCAAGUUUUUUCAUCUUUAAGCCGGUUGAAGGUCACAUGAGUAUUUCAAGACCAGGAUUUAAGCUGGGUCAGCAAAUUGAUUAUGAAGUUGGCUUAUUUGACCCGGAUUUUUGAAGAAGGAAAUAACAAGGAGUUAAGGAUGAUCAGGUGCUGGCUUACAAAGAUGUUUUAACCCGGAGCGUAACCUGUUAAAAUUGUUCUUGUGUUGUUUUACAGGAUCAGUUUAACAUGGAUGAAUCCAAAUUAAACUGGGGGCUAAUGUCGGGGAUAUACCCCGCAGUAUGACCCGGCUAGAGAUAUAACCCGGCUGGGAUUGGGUGUUUCAUUGAUGACCCGGCAGACACAGUCAUGUAACCCGGCACAUGUUAAGCCAGGUGGUAAGCCAGACGGUAAGCCAGAUGGUAAGCCAGACGGUAAGCCAGAUGGUAAGCCAGAUGGUAAGUCAGAUCGUAAGCCAGAUUGUAAGAAGCCCAAGACGUUAAGAAGCCCAUGGUGAGACAUCAAAGUAAGGUUAAAUCUUAAGUCCGAGUUGGACUCUACAUGUAACCCGCCCCUUCAGCUUAUAUAAGGAGGGGCGGGGCACCCCAAGAGGGGACAAGAAACAAUCGAUAGGGCUAGACACCGAGAGCCGGUUCCCGGCGACUCUCCCGUGAUCAUAAUGAGACCUAGCCUCAAACAGCAUGUAGGGUUGUUACCGGAUGAUGUUUCCCGGGGCCCGAAGCUGUCUAAAUCCUUGUCUUGUGUUGCAUCUCUCGAUUCCUCUCAACUCCUCUCAAGCUACCACAUAGAUGCGUUGGCCUCACGACUAAGUCCUGACACUAAGGACAUCUGCCGUGACAAUUCCACGACAGCAGGUGAGAUUAAUGCUGGAGUAGUUAUGGGUGGAAAAUCAGGCUGUUUUGGAAACUAAUCAAAGGAUUUCGGACGCAAUCUCGGCCGUGAGAUGAAAGAAGCACCGAUGGUGUGCGAUUAGUCUGACAAACGUCUGCUAUCAGAUGCCUGGUAGGAAGCGUUUCCAGUCACGGUUUCUGAUUUUCUGUUGUUUGAGUAUGUGAAUAAAUUCACUUUUGGUCCAUUUGCUAACUUGAUGAUUGCCUUCUUAUAGCUCACGAUGGAUCUGUGCAUCAAAGUGUGAUCAGGCAUAAACAUGAAAGAACUAGGAAGCAAACCAUACUUCAUGUGUGCAUUGAGAUGAACUGAUUUUUAGACGCAACAGUAAGUUGUAAAACUGAGAUUAACCUUUUAAAGUUAUAUCUGAUACAUCAGUAGUAGGUUACUUGAAGUAGUCAGCAACAGUAUUUUUCUUUACAAAAGUUUAGCUAAGCCUGUCAUUGACGUGAGAUUAUGUGGGAUCUUCACUUGUUCUGUAAUUUUUUUUUACACACAUGUGGGCCUCCCACUUAUAUUAUGCGAUGGAUGUGAUUUGGGGUUGGGGUUUGUUCUGUUCAAUUAUCGUUCUAUGAGCGGAAUAAUUUCCCUACAUUAGAAAAUCUGGCAAAUUGCAUUUCAUUAGAGCUGACUUUGCAGCAAAUUGCUUGAGCGAGCGGUUCAUUUUUUUUACAUCAAGUCAUACAAUGUUUUAGUUAGCAUAGAAUGGUACAUACAUUUGUUGGUUGCUUCAAGAGUUAAUAAUGGAUACAGCGACAACGAACAUCAUAGUUUGUCCAGUGGCUAAGGAAACAUUGGAUCUGCCUUCUUGGCUUAGGAGGCAUUGUGGGCGGCCAAUGCCUCCUUCCCCUUCCAUGGAGGCGGCGGAUCAACACGAACACAGAGGAAGGGAUGUGGGUGGAGAGUUGGGCGGUUUGCAGGGUCUCCUGGAUGGUCCAUGGAGAAGUUCGGUAUGAAGGAGAGAGGGUGCUAGCGAAGGCGAGGUGGGCGUCAUCCAGUUUUAAAUGAGAGGGCUCCAUCGACAAAUGUCACGCUACGAUGAAAAUCGAGCAGGAAGGGAAUGGUCUGACAGGAAAAGGAAAGGGUGUGUCGUGAGGUGGAUUUUUUUUGUGUUGGGCCCUCUUUUUGUUGGAGAUAACAUGAUGAAUAGUCCGGACAACCAUAUUUCUCCUCCAUAUAUGGUAUGUAUUUGGGGAAGGCUGAAUUGUCUAGCUGGUUUAAUUUUGGGGUGCCGGCUGGGCACCCAUUUGAUGUCAAAACACCUUCGGACAUGGGAAGGAUAUAUGAGCUUCAACGUUGGAGACAAUCUUAAUUAUUUGUUUGAUUCACUUGUAGCCUGUAGCAACGCACGGGCAUUUUACUAGUGUACAAAUAUGUACGUAUUUCACAAAUAUAACAAAAAC